rnacentral:lncRNA from 1 species
ACUUCUAUCUUGCUAAUGAAUAAAAGGUGUUCAUCAGUAAUAUGACAGUCUUUUUAGAAAAGAAGUUCUUUGGAAAAGGAACUAAUGCCUCUAAGAUUGAACUUGAGGAAGUUCGAUCGGUAAAAGAAUCGGCACAAUCUAGUAAACCCAUAGAAUCAGAUUUGAUUAGAUCAAAUUCAGAAUCUAUUGUAGAGACAUCUUUGAGGAGAUCUGGUAGAGUACUACAUC